rnacentral:rRNA from 1 species
GACGAACGCUGGCGGCGUGCUUAACACAUGCAAGUCGAACGGUGAAGCGCCUUCCUUUUUGGUGGGUGUGGAUGAGUGGCGAACGGGUGAGUAACACGUGAGUAACCUGCCCCCUUCUUCUGGAUAACCGCAUGAAAGUGUGGCUAAUACGGGAUAUUCUGGGUCUGUCGCAUGAUGGGUCUGGGAAAGAUAUUGUUUCGGUGGGGGAUGGGCUCGCGGCCUAUCAGCUUGUUGGUGGGGUGAUGGCCUACCAAGGCGGUGACGGGUAGCCGGCCUGAGAGGGUGGACGGUCACACUGGGACUGAGACACGGCCCAGCCUCCUACGGGAGGCAGCAGUGGGGAAUAUUGCACAAUGGGCGCAAGCCUGAUGCAGCGACGCCGCGUGAGGGAUGGAGGCCUUCGGGUUGUGACCCUCUUUCGCCAGUGAAGCAGGCCUGCCUCGUUUGUGGGUGGGUUGACGGUAGCUGGAUAGAAGCGCCGGCUAACUACGUG